rnacentral:rRNA from 1 species
UACGUAGGGGGCAAGCGUUGUCCGGAUUUAUUGGGCGUAAAGAGCGUGUAGGCGGCCAAACAGGUCCACUGUGAAAACUCGAGGCUCAACCUCGAGACGUCGGUGGAAACCGUCUGGCUAGAGUCCGGAAGAGGAGAGUGGAAUUCCCGGUGUAGCGGUGAAAUGCGCAGAUAUCAGGAAGAACACCCGUGGCUAAGGCGGCUCUCUAGUACGGUACUGACGCUGAGACGCGAAAGCGUGGGGAGCGAACAGG